AGAAUCUUGCCUCUAAGAUACACCUCAGGAGUUUUUUCUUUAGAGAAAUAAAAGAGAAUCACAUUUUCCCUUAGAUACUAAGUCACUGACCACUUCAAACAUAUCCCUUUUCCUUACCUUCCUUCCAGGCAUUUCCAGAAGGACAUAGAGAACAUCAAUGAACAUAUACUGUGACAGGAAUGGAUCAGAGAACCUUGUAUAAAUUUCUCAUCUAAUACUCAAGACAACUCUAUGAAGCAGAAACUAUUAACAUCCCUGUCUUAUAGACAAACCAACUCUGUGAUCUUUGUAUUAUUUUUAAAAUGAGAAAAUUUUACCUUUUUAGUAAGUUAUUUUUGACAAUGAUGUUAAAUAAUUUGCCUAAGAUCCCACAGAAAGUAGAGUAGUCCAAAAUGUCUACUAACAAAUUCUGGCUAUUUACACUAUCCCAAUCUGCCUCUUGGGAGGAUUGUUAUUCUCAAAGAAUGUUACCAAGUCACAUUAAUGAUGCCAUUAUUUUCAAAUAAUUUUUAAAAGAAUUAUUAUAUUCCAUACUUAUGGAAGAUCUCACUACCAAGAGGAUAUAUGGAUAGCAAAUGAGUAUAUGCAAAGAUGUUGACAUCAUUAGCCAACCAGUAAAUGCAAAUGAAAAUCACAGUGAGACAAUACUACAGACCUAUUAGAAUGAUUAAGGUAAAUAAAAUCAAUGAUAAUAAGCACUGGUAGCAUAAGGAGUAACUGGAACUCUCAGUCAAAAUUAAUCUUUGAGAAUAUGGUACAUCUACACAAUGGAGAUUCGGAUUAUGUCAUUUGCAUGAAAAUGGAUGGAGUUUGAGAGCAUUAAUGUUAAGCAAAAUAAGCCAGACUCAGAAAGUUAAGGACCAUGUUUUCUUUUAUAUGUGGAUGCUAGAGAGAAAAAAGGAAAAGCAGAAUAGGGAAAGUUCAUAAAAAUUAAAGGGAGACCAGCAGAGUAGAGGAAAGGGGUUAGGGGGAGGGAGGAGGGGAGAGAAAGUGGAGGUACUGGGGAAUGAAAAUUGACCAAAUUAUGUUAUGUGUAUGUAUGAAUAUGUAACAAUGAAUUCCACUAUUCAUAAUUAUAAUGUACCAAUUAUUUUUUAAAUGAAUCUUUGGUGAUAAAGGCAGAACAGUGGUUAUCUUGGGGAGAAGCAGAGGCGAUUGGAAAGAGACAAGAUGAUGAACUUCUGAGAUACUAGUAAAGGCUGACAAUAUGGGUGAUUACAAUUAAUGUGUCUAUGUAAAUUCAUGAAGUUUAUGAUUGUGUACUUUUCUGUAAGUAAAAGUUUACUUCAAUAAAAUGUUUGUCAAAAAUAAUUUAUUAUAGGCCAGGCAUGGUGGUGCACGCCUAUAAUCCCAGCAGGUGGGGAGGCUGAGACAGGAGGAUAGUGAGUUCAAAGCCAGCCUCAGCAACAGUGAGGUGUUAAGCAACUCAGUGAGACUUGUCUCUAAAUAAAAUACAAAAUAGGGCUGGGGAUGUGAAUCAGUGGCCAAGUGCCCCUGAGUUUCAAUUCCUGGUACCCCCCAAAAAAACUUAUUAUAAAGGUAAAAUAUGCUCAUUGUAAAAAUAAUGCAAAGAAUACAGAAGGCAUGGCUAAAAGUAAAACUUGCCCCAUGCCCUGUUUCUACUUCCCAGUAGUUGCCACUGCUACCUGCAUUUCUUGUCUAGCUAAGCACAUCGAUAAAUAUAGCUUCAUUUCUUACACAAAUUCAGAGUGGAUUCAGAGUACUCACAAGUCAG
rnacentral:lncRNA from 1 species